GAUGAACGCUGGCGGCGUGCCUAAUACAUGCAAGUCGAGCGAACAGACGAGGAGCUUGCUCCUCUGACGUUAGCGGCGGACGGGUGAGUAACACGUGGAUAACCUACCUAUAAGACUGGGAUAACUUCGGGAAACCGGAGCUAAUACCGGAUAAUAUAUUGAACCGCAUGGUUCAAUAGUGAAAGACGGUUUUGCUGUCACUUAUAGAUGGAUCCGCGCCGCAUUAGCUAGUUGGUAAGGUAACGGCUUACCAAGGCAACGAUGCGUAGCCGACCUGAGAGGGUGAUCGGCCACACUGGAACUGAGACACGGUCCAGACUCCUACGGGAGGCAGCAGUAGGGAAUCUUCCGCAAUGGGCGAAAGCCUGACGGAGCAACGCCGCGUGAGUGAUGAAGGUCUUCGGAUCGUAAAACUCUGUUAUUAGGGAAGAACAAAUGUGUUAGUAACUAUGCACGUCUUGACGGUACCUAAUCAGAAAGCCACGGCUAACUACG
rnacentral:rRNA from 1 species